rnacentral:rRNA from 1 species
AAUGAACGUUGGCGGCAUGGAUUAGGCAUGCAAGUCGAGCGAGAAGUUAUAGUUUGACGCUUCGGUUGAUUUCUAUAAUGGACAGCGGCGCAUGGGAGAGUAACGCGUAGUUAUCUACCCCGAGGUCCGGAAUAGCCAUGGGAAACUGUGGGUAAUGCCGGAUAAUAUCCCCGGAUCAAAGGUGUGAUUCCGCCUUGGGAGGAGACUGCGUACUACUAGCUUGUUGGUAGGGUAAUGGCCUACCAAGGCUUUGAUGGUUAGCGGGCGUGAGAGCGUGGCCCGUCUCACUGGGACUGAAACACUGCCCAGACAUCUACGGAUGGCUGCAGUCGAGAAUCUUCGGCAAUGGGCGAAAGCCUGACCGAGCGAUGCCGCGUGCGGGAUGAAGGCCCUCGGGUUGUAAACCGCUGUCAGUUGGGAGGAAGGGUCCGUGAAGAGCGGAUCUUGACCUAUCUUCAGAGGAAGUCCGGGCUAAGUUCGUG